rnacentral:misc_RNA from 1 species
AACGUAGUUUGGGUGAGCUUUCCAUCUCGACAUUGUGGUGUGUUUGUCACCCGUUAAUUGGACACAAACACCUUCCUUUCCACCGCUUUCAAUAAAAAAUCCACCCGACGAUGGAAUGCUGUCAGCGAGCAGCAUGGAAGACGCAGAGAGAGUGGUGGUCAGGUGGUGGUGGAGACAGGGAGAGUAUGUGGCCUGGAGAUUAACAAACAGAACACCAAUAAUCUUGUGACCUCCAUGCACCCUUCCUAAUGUCAAUAAAGUUGUCUUAUCAU